UACAGAGGUCUCAAGCGUUGUUCGGAUUCAUUGGGCGUAAAGGGUGUGUAGGUGGCGCCGUAAGUCGGGUGUGAAAUUUCGGAGCUUAACUCCGAAACUGCAUUCGAUACUGCGGUGCUUGAGGACUGGAGAGGAGACUGGAAUUCAUGGUGUAGCAGUGAAAUGCGUAGAUAUCGGGAGGAACACCAGUGGCGAAGGCGACUUUCUGGCCUGUUCUUGACGCUGAGGCGCGAAGGCUAGGGGAGCAAACGGG
rnacentral:rRNA from 1 species